GCCAAUGACGACUUAAUCCAUCUUGUCUGAGACGUUGUGGAGCCAAGCCCCUGUUUCAUGGAGAACCUACUUGGUGAAGCUAUGUUCACAAGAUUUUAAUGGAUUUAUCUGAGGU